GAGGGCCGCGCGAGCGCCCGCCCUGGGCUUCUCUGCCCGUGCCGCGGAGAUUCGAGCCGCUAAGACCACCCUGCUCAAAGGAGUCAGGGAUGUCGACUCGCGGUGGGGAAGAGGACACAGGCCCCGACGGGUCCUGCGAUUAGGUAACUGAGGCCCAGAGAGCGGAAUUCGCGCAGAGCUGAGAAGUGGUCCAGCUAGAAGAUGAUAACCAGGUUCCGGAGAAGGUAAGGCCUCGAGAUGGAAGAUUCCUGGGUGGAAGAGACCUCUGCCUCUAUGGACCUAAACAUCCACCCAAGACUGUUAUAUGAGAAAAAAAAGUAAACCUCUGCUGUUUUGAGCUUUUA